rnacentral:rRNA from 1 species
CAAGUCUGGUGCCAGCAGCCGCGGUAAUUCCAGCUCCAAUAGCGUAUAUUAAAGUUGUUGCAGUUAAAAAGCUCGUAGUUGAAUUUCGGAAUCAGUUCGCUGGUCGUGCCUCUGGGAUGUACUGGUGUUUCUGGUUUCUCCCUUCUGAAGAACUGUCAUGUCAUUAAUUUGGUGUGGCGGGGAAUCAGGACUGUUACUUUGAAAAAAUUAGAGUGUUUAAAGCAGGCUCGCGCUUGAAUACAUUAGCAUGGAAUAAUGAAAUAGGACGUUUGAUCCUAUUUUGUUGGUUUCUAGGAUUGUCGUAAUGAUUAAUAGGGAUAGUUGGGGGCAUUAGUAUUCAAUUGUCAGAGGUGAAAUUCUUGGAUUUAUUGAAGACUAACUACUGCGAAAGCGUUUGCCAAGGAUGUUUUCAUUAAUCAAGAACGAAAGUUAGGGGAUCGAAGACGAUCAGAUACCGUCGUAGUCUUAACCAUAAACUAUGCCGACUAGGGAUCGGAUGAUGUUAAUUUUUUAAUGACUCAUUCGGCGCCUUACCGGAAACA